rnacentral:lncRNA from 1 species
CUUGCUAUUAUGAGAACUUGCUAUUCUGAUGCCACACUGACUGGGGGAUUUCUGUAACGGGACCAAGCGCCGACAGGUCUCCAUGCACAUGUCCCUCCAGCUUGUCAGCCCUUUCCAGGGUGAUGCAGCUGCUAAGUGCUAUGUGCUGCUGUAGAUAAUGGAAGAAGCCAUUCAGAAUGAACAGGAGGAGCGAUGAGCUGCGAAAGGUGUUAAAAUACAAACUUUGCCUUGUGAACCUCCAACAGGGCUUCUAUGGAAAGCGGCAUUUGGAGGCUGCAGUGCACACGGUGCGGGACGUGUUCUCACCGAGCCCGCAAUGCUAGGCAUGCUCUGUGCUGCUGAGG